rnacentral:rRNA from 1 species
UACGUAGGGGGCAAGCGUUGUCCGGAUUUAUUGGGCGUAAAGAGCGUGUAGGCGGCCAUGUAGGUCCGUUGUGAAAACUCGAGGCUCAACCUCGAGACGCCGAUGGAAACCAUGUGGCUAGAGUCCGGAAGAGGAGAGUGGAAUUCCUGGUGUAGCGGUGAAAUGCGCAGAUAUCGGGAGGAACACCAAUGGCGAAGGCAGCUCGCUGGGACGGUACUGACGCUGAGACGCGAAAGCGUGGGGAGCAACAGG